GUGACCAAAACUAACGAAAAAAACAUCUGAUCGUGAGACGAAACCAAGAACAUCGGUGAGGUAAUAGCUUACCAAGGCGAUAAUCAGUAGUUAGUUCGAGAGGAUAAUCAGCCACACUGGGACUGAGACACGGUCCAGACUCCUACGGGAG
rnacentral:ncRNA from 1 species